GACGAACGCUGGCGGCGUGCUUAACACAUGCAAGUCGAACGGGAAGGCCCUGCUUUGGGGGGGUGCUCGAGUGGCGAACGGGUGAGUAACACGUGAGUAACCUGCCCUUGACUGUGGGAUGACUUCAGGAAACUGGGGCUAAUACCGGAUAGGAGCUCCUGCUGCAGGGUGGGGGUUGGAAAGUUUCGGCGGUUGGGGAUGGACUCGCGGCUUAUCAGCUUGUUGGUGGGGUAGUGGCUUACCAAGGCUUUGACGGGUAGCCGGCCUGAGAGGGUGACCGGCCACAUUGGGACUGAGAUACGGCACAGACUCCACCGGGACGCAGCAGUGGGGAAUAUUGCACAAUGGGCGGAACCCUGAUGCAGUCCCGCCGCGUGCGGGAUGACGGCCUUCGGGUUGUAAACCGCUUUCGCCUGUGACGAAGCGUGAGUGACGGUAAUGGGUAAAGAAGCACCGGCUAACUACGUG
rnacentral:rRNA from 1 species